CCAGAAUUCACUAUAUGUAGGA
rnacentral:miRNA from 1 species